AGGACGAACGCUGGCGGCGCGCUUAACGACAUGCAAGUCGAGCGAGAACCGGUCCUUCGGGACCGGGGAAAGCGGCGAACGGGUGAGUAACACGUGGGUAAUCAACCCUUGACUCUGGGAUAGCCCGGGGAAACUCGGAUUAAUACCGGAUGGCCCAACAGCUCUUCGGGGCGGUUGGAAAAGGUAGCUUCGGCCUCCGGUCAGGGACGAGCCCGCGGCGGAUUAGCUUGUUGGUGAGGUAACGGCUCACCAAGGCGACGAUCCGUAGCUGGUCUGAGAGGACGAUCAGCCACACUGGGACUGAGACACGGCCCAGACUCCUACGGGAGGCAGCAGUGGGGAAUCUUGCACAAUGGGCGAAAGCCUGAUGCAGCGACGCCGCGUGAGGGAAGAAGGCUUUCGGGUUGUAAACCGUCUUUCAGAAGGGACGAAGCUCCUCGGGUUAAUAGCCCAGAGGGUGACGGUACCUUCAGAAGAAGCCCCGGCUAACUACGCGCCAGCAGCCGC
rnacentral:rRNA from 1 species